rnacentral:lncRNA from 1 species
AGUCAUCGUCCAGGUGGAACUUCGAGUGACCGCGAGAGAUUUUAAAUUUAACUUGAGAAUAAACCGUCGAAAUGGCUCGAAGAUCCGAAGAAGAUCCGCCCGAUGAAAACGGCCGACCGACUGGAACUUCGGUGCGAUGAAAACGCGUGUCGCUUCCUUUCGGCAUUGUUACUUUUCAAACUGGCGCUUAUCGAUACUCCUCAAUCCCCGUCGUCAGUCAGUCUCUCGAGCGCCGCGCUCGUCACGUCACCCCGCGACGUCGUCCUGCACGACCGCGACGCGGUCGCGCGAGAAGUCCAAAACGACGACGCACCCGCGGAACAGAUCCGCGCACAGCACCCCGUCCGCGUGCGG